AGCGAACGCUGGCGGCAGGCUUAACACAUGCAAGUCGAGCGGGCACUUUCGGGUGUCAGCGGCGGACGGGUGAGUAACGCGUGGGAACGUGCCCUCUGGUUCGGAAUAACUCAGGGAAACUUGAGCUAAUACCGGAUACGCCCUUUUGGGGAAAGGCUUGCUGCCGGAGGAUCGGCCCGCGUCUGAUUAGCUAGUUGGUGAGGUAACGGCUCACCAAGGCGACGAUCAGUAGCUGGUCUGAGAGGAUGAUCAGCCACACUGGGACUGAGACACGGCCCAGACUCCUACGGGAGGCAGCAGUGGGGAAUAGUGGACAAUGGGCGCAAGCCUGAUCCAGCCAUGCCGCGUGAGUGAUGAAGGCCUUAGGGUUGUAAAGCUCUUUUAUCCGGGACGAUAAUGACGGUACCGGAGGAAUAAGCCCCGGCUAACUUCGUG
rnacentral:rRNA from 1 species